rnacentral:lncRNA from 1 species
UGCCAAUAUUUUUUUUCUGCUGAUGACAACAGAUAUAAGAACUAAGGUGACUUCUCUAGAUAAAGAUCAUCUAAAGACAGCCCCCACAAGGAACAGGAUCAUCCCUGUAAAAUCUUCAAGAACAGAACCCAGUGCCUCACCUGUGUCUUGCCACUAUGAGCAUUGAACACAUCCUUGCUGCUCACUUUGAUGGAUCCAUUUAUGGUGGGCAGUCCCUGCUCGCAUUACACAGUUCAUCAGAAGCAACAACAGAUAUGCGUCCUGCUCCAGUAUGCCAAGGAGGAAGACCCCUGCCCCCACCAAAACAAGAACUAAACUAAGCCUGUCUUUUCAUGCUGUUCAAAAUGCAGAAGUAAAGAAGAAAAGAAUCACCA